ACGAGGGAGGAGAGGACAGUCGCCCAAGAAACAAAGACAAAUCUUCCAGCUGUUUAGUUAGUCUUGACGGCAGAAGAAAUAAUUCAUGAAGGCAGUGGUAGAAGUGAGCCUGGUCUAAGAGGGGUAAAAAGUGAGUGAUCUUGACUUACCUGUGAGUAACAUGGAGGAGAAAGGCAAAAAAUUUACUGCACUUUCUUCGGAGCUCAACACAGCGUUUGUGCACAUCAUCUAACGACAGAAUCACCCAGAGAGGACAUGUUUAGUGUGCUAUAACAAUCAAUUAAUUAAAUCAUAGCUAGCAGAGGGGGUUAUUAUGCUGGGGGUAAAGUCUGCAUUUGUAUCUUGUGGUCCAUCAGGCUGGCACUCAUCUCCAGUUUCUGUUGCAAGAAGUGACCAAAGAGUAUUUCUACUCUUCCCUGGCUGGGAUGUUAGCUCAUCACAGUGUCACCACCAGAAUUAAGUUUGCCGCUAAACCAUUUAAAAACUGGGUGGAGGCUAUGGCUACAUCAAAUUACGCUUCAAUAAUAUUGAAAUGAUCUUCAAAAGCAUAAAAAUUCUCAUUCAAGCAUAUUUUACAAAGCAUUGCUACAGACAUUCAAAUUCAAAAUUAAGUUCCAACUUUCACUGAACCAACUAAAACUUUUCCCAUCCUAAUUAAUUACAGAGGACAAGCUGUAAAGAAGUGAUUUAAGAAGUUUAACACCCAGAAUUAAUACUAAUGCUUCUCUCUAAUGCUUCCAUUUCUUUAUUUUUCUCCUCUAAUAGUUUCUUUUCAAACUGUUUCAAACUUUACCAGUCAAAGACGUAAUGCUUCCAUCGUUUUCCAGCUUAAAAACUUGCUGCCUAAAAGUACAAGAAUGAAUAGAUCAAUGAAAGAUCAAUGAUUGACUUUGGCUAUUAUCCCAAUACAAUCCCAAGCAAACUUGAUUUAUAUGAUAUGCAACUCAAUGAUAGAAUAACAGUAGAAACUUGGUUCUGUCUUUAUUGGACUACCAAAAAAAAUUAAGAUUGGUCAAUUUUGAA